GUGUCCAUUCGGAUGUGGAGUUUGGAGAGGCCCUCCUUGUUUUCCAGGCUGUGAGCCAUGGGAAGCGUGUCAACCAUGUCAAACCAAAGGAUCAAGAAAUUGAAGAUUCCGUUCACUUGCCUUGGAGUUUGAGUUUGUGCUUUUGUGUUGUAUUUAAGAAAUUAUUGCCAACUUCAAGCUCACUUUCUGGCUUUGGAGGUAGAGAAUGAGGUCUGCAAUCCAAGGAAUCAGAAGCCUCUGGAGCUAGAAAAGAUUUACUCCUUAUGCUUCCAGAAAGGAAAACAGCCUUGGCAACACCUUCAUUUUAUCCCAAAUGAGAACCGUGUCAGACUUCUAACAUACAGAACUUUAAUAUAAUAAAUUUAUGUUGUUAUAAGCCACAAAGUUUGUGGUAAUUUGUUACAGCAACAGUAGAACUGUUUCUAAUUUUGGUUUCUGAUUUUCUUUUCUAGUAUAUAAAAAUAAAAUUGAUUUUUUUAUAGUGACCAUGUCUCUUUCAACCGUGAUAAACUUGUUAGCUCUAAUAGCUUUUUUGUAGACUUCUUUCUAAUAUGGAAGAUUUUAUUUCAUUUUCUUGACUUACUGUCUUGUCUAGAAUAUCUAGUAUAAUAUUGACUAGAAGUAGUAAGAGUGAGCAUCCUUAUUGCUUUCCUGAUUUGGGGGGAAAGCAUUCAGCCUCUCACCAUUAAAUGUUAGCUAUAGAUUUUUCUGUGUUAGCUAC
ensembl:lncRNA novel transcript